rnacentral:rRNA from 1 species
CCUACGGGAGGCAGCAGUGGGGAAUAUUGGACAAUGGGGGAAACCCUGAUCCAGCGACGCCGCGUGAGUGAAGAAGUAUUUCGGUAUGUAAAGCUCUAUCAGCAGGGAAGAAAAUGACGGUACCUGACUAAGAAGCCCCGGCUAACUACGUGCCAGCAGCCGCGGUAAUACGUAGGGGGCAAGCGUUAUCCGGAUUUACUGGGUGUAAAGGGAGCGCAGACGGCCAAGCAAGUCUGAAGUGAAAUGCAUGGGCUCAACCCAUGAAUUGCUUUGGAAACUGUUUGGCUUGAGUGUCGGAGGGGUAAGCGGAAUUCCUAGUGUAGCGGUGAAAUGCGUAGAUAUUAGGAGGAACACCGGAGGCGAAGGCGGCUUACUGGACGACAACUGACGUUGAGGCUCGAAGGCGUGGGGAGCAAACAGGAUUAGAUACCCGAGUAGUC